rnacentral:rRNA from 1 species
GGGGAAUAUUGCACAAUGGGCGAAAGCCUGAUGCAGCAACGCCGCGUGAGGGAUGACGGCCUUCGGGUUGUAAACCUCUUUUAGUAGGGAAGAAGCGAAAGUGACGGUACCUGCAGAAAAAGCACCGGCUAACUACGUGCCAGCAGCCGCGGUAAUACGUAGGGUGCAAGCGUUGUCCGGAAUUAUUGGGCGUAAAGAGCUCGUAGGCGGCUUGUCGCGUCUGCUGUGAAAACCCGGAGCUCAACUCCGGGCCUGCAGUGGGUACGGGCAGGCUAGAGUGCGGUAGGGGAGAUUGGAAUUCCUGGUGUAGCGGUGGAAUGCGCAGAUAUCAGGAGGAACACCGAUGGCGAAGGCAGGUCUCUGGGCCACUACUGACGCUGAGAAGCGAAAGCGUGGGGAGCGAAC